UCAGUGGACGUACGCCGCUGCUGCUGC
rnacentral:sRNA from 1 species